CAGGGCUCCCUCUACCACCAGACGGCCCCGCCGGGCCCCCCCGGGCCCCCCCCGGGCGAGGGGCUCCUGCUGCAGGAGAACGUCUCGGCCGAGAUCCGGGCGCUGCUCAGCUCCUACUACAGCGACAGCUAUUGACCCCGGGGACGACAUCGCGGCGGUGACCGACAUCCUGGCGCGGCACCGGGGGGGCCCCCGCCCGCCGGGCCCCCCCCCGUGGCUGUCGCUGUUCGAGGGGCC